UACGUAGGUUCCAAGCGUUGCCCGGUUUUAUUGGGCGUAAAGCGUCUGUAGGUGGUUUUCUAAGUCUUGUUUCAAAGACCCUGACUUAAUCAGGGAAAGGGGCAGGAUACUGGAAGACUGGAGUUAUAUCGGGGUUACUGGAAUUUGUGGUGUAGGGGUAAAAUCCGUGGAUACCACAAAGAACACCAAGCGCGAAGGCGGGUAACCAGGUAUACACUGACACUGAGAGACGAAAGCUAGGGUAGCCAAUCAGAUUAGAGACCUGAGUAGUCCUAGCCGUAAACAUUGUCUGUUAAUUUUCCCCCUUUUUGGGAGGAGAUGCUAGCUAACGCGUUAAACAGACCGCCUGGGGAGUAUAGCCGCAAGGCCGAAACUCAAACGAAUUGGCGGGGAGGCGCACAACCAGUGGAGCAUGUGGUUUAAUUCGAUACGAAGCGAUAAACCUUACCCGGGUUUGAAAUGUAUCUGCAAGCCGAAUGAAAGUUUGGCCGCCUUCGAGGGUGAUACACAGCUGUUGCAUGGCUGUCGUCAGCUCGUGACGUGAGUUGUUCUCUUAAGUGAGGUAACGAGCGCAACCCCUAUCGUAUGUUACUGUAUCAUACGAGACUGCCCAGCAUUAUUUUGUUGGGAGGAAGGAGGGGACGACGUCAAGUCAUCAUGAUGCUUAUAUCCGGGGCUACACACAUCCUACAAUGGAUUGUACAGAGGGUUGCAAUACCGCAAGGUGGAGCUAAUCCCUAAAACAAUCCUCAGUUGGGAUUGCAGGCUGAAACUCGCCUGCAUGAACUUGGAAUUGGUAGUAAUCGCAAAUCAGCAGAUUGCGGUGAAUACGUUCUCGCCUCU
rnacentral:rRNA from 1 species